rnacentral:rRNA from 1 species
AUUGAACGCUGGCGGCAUGCCUUACACAUGCAAGUCGAACGGCAGCACGGGAGCAAUCCUGGUAGGCGAGUGGCGAACGGGUGAGUAAUAUAUCGGAACGUGCCCAGGUCGUGGGGGAUAACGUAGCGAAAGCUACGCUAAUACCGCAUACGAUCUAUGGAUGAAAGCGGGGGAUCGCAAGACCUCGCGCGAUUGGAGCGGCCGAUAUCAGAUUAGGUAGUUGGUGAGGUACAGGCUCACCAAGCCGACGAUCUGUAGCUGGUCUGAGAGGACGACCAGCCACACUGGGACUGAGACACGG